rnacentral:rRNA from 1 species
GACGAACGCUGGCGGCGUGCUUAACACAUGCAAGUCGAACGGAAAGGCCCUGCUUUUGUGGGGUGCUCGAGUGGCGAACGGGUGAGUAACGCGUGAGUAACCUGCCCUUGACUUUGGGAUAACUUCAGGAAACUGGGGCUAAUACCGGAUAGGAGCUCCUGCUGCAUGGUGGGGGUUGGAAAGUUUCGGCGGUUUGGGAUGGACUCGCGGCUUAUCAGCUUGUUGGGGGGGUAGUGGCUUACCAAGGCUUUGACGGGUAGCCGGCCUGAGAGGGUGACCGGCCACAUUGGGACUGAGAUACGGCCCAGACUCCUACGGGAGGCAGCAGUGGGGAAUAUUGCACAAUGGGCGGAAGCCUGAUGCAGCAACGCCGCGUGCGGGAUGACGGCCUUCGGGUUGUAAACCGCUUUCGCCUGUGACGAAGCGUGAGUGACGGUAAUGGGUAAAGAAGCACCGGCUAACUACGUG